GGGUGGUAAGGCAGCAUUACUCUCACACAACGCUAUAAUUUGUCCUAGUCGCACAGGACAUAGAAACAGGAACUACUAGGUCCGUUCUACUAGAUACAGGAUCUACACUCCAAACAUGAACAACAACGUUUCCCAGCCUGGGCAGAAUGGAGUUGGGAAGAGUGCAGCAGGAAACUUCACCUGUCUCCAUGAGCAGCCACUGCAACCUAUGGGUCCCUAUUCGGGUGUCGGCUCUACUGUUGGCGCAAUCGCGGGACGAGCAGUUGGAGGAUUAGUGGGAGGAAUAAUAGGAGGAGCUGUGGGAUCUGCAGCUGAUUCUGCUUACCGUCAAUCUUACUAUGAGAAAAAUAAAUGUCCAGAAUGAAUGAAUCAGUUGUUAAACUAUCAUACCAGAUAACCUUUAUAUGGCUUCUACCUUGAUUUGUUAUUGCAUAAAUACUAUGUAUUAUAAAUGUUUCUGUAAUUCUUUGUAUUGGUUCAAUUAACUGAAGUGUCUAUAUGCUGAGAGCCAGUGAGUACAUGCCUUUACAAACAUUGAGUUUAGGACUUUUGGCUCCUUGCCACCUGGAACACAAUGGUUUCAGUUUUGCAUCCUCCUCAUAACCCACAUUUAACUAUAUUUCAAUGAAAUUGAACAUAUCAGUUCAUGCCUUAAAGAUAGAAUCCUUAAUCGAAACAAUAACAAAGCCGUCACCCUCCUCUGUUUUGGUAAAGAGCUGGGAAAUGGGCCUGGAGAAAGAUAACCAUUCUCAAAUUCAUAGAUCUAUGGCUACAAGGACUGACCAUGAUAUCAACAUUAUAGUUUUAACCAUGUUUUGAGGCUAUGCAGUGUUUGUUUAUGUUCACAUUGUUUACAAACAUUGGAGUAAUGUUAUAAUUAUACACAUAGGAUGUUACUCCUUUUCUCUUUCUCUCUUGUUUUCGAUAAUGGGUGUUGGGUUGUAAGAUCCAAGAAAGAAACAAAACAUACUGUAUCAUUAAAUAAUGGACCAAUA